rnacentral:rRNA from 1 species
UACGGAGGAUCCAAGCGUUAUCCGGAUUUAUUGGGUUUAAAGGGUGCGUAGGCGGCCUGUUAAGUCAGGGGUGAAAGACGGUGGCUCAACCAUCGCAGUGCCUUUGAUACUGACGGGCUUGAAUGCAGCUGAGGUAGGCGGAAUGUGACAAGUAGCGGUGAAAUGCAUAGAUAUGUCACAGAACACCAAUUGCGAAGGCAGCUUACUAAAGUGUGAUUGACGCUGAGGCACGAAAGCGUGGGGAUCAAACAGG